UAUAAUCCGGCUCGAAGGACCAAAAAUGUUCGCGAGUAAGCGCGGAUUGCUGCGACAGCGCGAGAUUUUGAAGACGCGGCAGACGGAUAGUCGCGAACAAAGUAUUUGACACAAAACUUCACACGACACGCACAGAAAGAGUAAAGAAAAGUCCGAGAAAGAAAGCGGUCGACGUAAUUUGCGGUUGAACAAUGCGGUUUUCUAAGCGGUUUGAAAUACUGCGAGCAGCGAUAAGUACGAGACUUCGAAAAGUGCAAGACUUGACUUGGUCCACGCGCGGUGCCCAUUAUAAAGCGAGCGGAUUUUGGGCCCGCUUCGACGUGGACCAAUUAAUUUCAUAAUUUAGCGGUGACACUGUUGCGGCGUGUGCCAUUGGUCGUUAAUGACGUCUCACGAUGGAUGUCGUUUGUUUUUCGUGUGCGCAAUCCUUUUAGAUCAGCUGAUUGGCGAUCAGCUGAUCGUGACGCAUGGGCGCGCAUGCCCAUGAGCGGAGUAAUUUUGACGGCGGUUGA